GACAUAGGUCGCAAACGUUAUCCGGAAUGAUUGGGCGUAAAGCGUCCGCAGGUGGCUGUGUAAGUCUGCUGUUAAAGAGUGAGGCUCAACCUCAUAAAGGCAGUGGAAACUACACGGCUAGAGUGCGUUCGGGGCAGAGGGAAUUCCUGGUGUAGCGGUGAAAUGCGUAGAGAUCAGGAAGAACACCGGUGGCGAAAGCGCUCUGCUAGGCCGCAACUGACACUGAGGGACGAAAGCUAGGGGAGCGAAUGGG
rnacentral:rRNA from 1 species